AGUUCGCUGGAGGGACUGCUGCUUGGAACACUUGGAGUCUCCGCGGGCAGAUCUCAUAUUUUGGAUUCUGGAUAUAUUAUAAUGAGUGACACUUUGACAGCGGAUGUCAUUGGUCAAAGAGUUGAAGUUAAUGGAGAACAUGCAACAGUACGUUUUGCUGGUGUUGUCCCUCCCGUGGCAGGCACCCAACAGGAGGAUCCUUUAUUCGUCCAAACAAGGUAAAUUUUGGAACAGACUUUCUUACUGCAAUUAAGAACCGCUAUGUGUUAGAAGAUGGACCAGAGGAAGAUAGAAAAGAGCAAAUUGUUACAAUUGGAAAUAAACCUGUGGAGACUAUCGGUUUUGACUCUAUUAUGAAACAGCAAAGGGCCAGUGGAUAGCAUACGUGCUUAUGUAUCCCUGUGAACUCUGUUUUUCAUGCAGUCAGCUGAGCAAGUUGCAAGAAGUUUCUCUGAGGAACUGUGCAGUAAGUUGUGCUGGUGAAAAAGGAGGAGUUGCCGAAGGAUGUCCUAAUAUUAGAAAGGUAGAUUUGUCAAAAAACCUGUUGUCAUCAUGGGAUGAAGUGAUACACAUUGCUGAUCAGCUCAGACACCUGGAAGUCCUUAAUGUCAGUGAAAAUAAACUAAAAUUUCCCUCCGGUUCAGUAUUAACUGGAACGCUUUCUGCACUGAAGGUUUUAGUCCUCAAUCAAACAGGAAUAACGUGGGCUGAGGUGCUGCGGUGUGCCAUGGGAUGCCCAGGCCUGGAGGAACUCUACCUUGAGUCUAACAAUAUUUUCAUUUCCGAAAGGCCAACAGAUGUUCUCCAGACAGUCAAGUUAUUAGACCUUUCCUCUAAUCAAUUAAUUGAUGAAAAUCAGCUGUAUCUGAUAGCCCACCUGCCCAGGUUAGAACAAUUAAUCCUCUCUGACAUUGGAAUUUCUUCUCUACAUUUUCCAGAUGCUGGAAUUGGGUGCAAAACAUCCCUGUUCCCGUCCUUGAAGUACCUUGUAGUAAAUGACAAUCAGAUAUCACAAUGGUCAUUUUUCAAUGAGCUAGACAAGUUACCAAGUCUACGGGCUUUGUCCUGCCUAAGAAACCCCCUGACCAAAGAGGACAAAGAAGCAGAGACAGCCCGUCUGCUCAUUAUCGCCAGCAUUGGCCAGCUGAAGACGCUGAACAAAUGUGAGAUUCUCCCCGAGGAGAGGCGGAGAGCUGAGCUUGACUACCGAAAAGCUUUUGGAAAUGAGUGGAAACAGGCUGGUGGACAUAAGGAUCCGGACAAAAACAGACUCAGCGAAGAAUUCCUCACAGCCCAUCCCAGAUACCAGUUCCUCUGCCUGAAAUAUGGUGCACCUGAAGAGUGGGAACUCAAAACACAGCAGCCACUCAUGCUUAAAAACCAGCUACUAACACUGAAGAUAAAGUACCCUCAUCAACUUGAUCAGAAAGUCCUGGAGAAACAACUGCCGGGCUCCAUGACAAUUCAAAAGGUGAAGGGAUUGCUGUCACGUCUUCUCAAAGUUCCUGUGUCAGACCUUCUGUUGUCCUAUGAAAGUCCCCAAAAGCCAGGCGUUGAAAUCGAGCUGGAAAAUGACCUAAAGUCAUUACAGUUUUAUUCUGUGGAAAAUGGAGAUUGUCUAUUAGUGCGAUGGUGACAACCAACUAAUAAGAUUUAGAGAGUACACUGCUUAUCGUGUCUGGGGUUCACCGGAAAUAAAUGAUUCACUGGAAGAACUCUACUGUCAAAACAAAGCGGGUUUACAACUUGCCCUAAGUAUAACAAGGGAUGUAUUUUAACAACGGAUGUAUUUUUUGUUGGGAAGUGACCAUUUCUAGGCUUAUACAUAAUAGCAAUAAUAAAGGCUUUGAACCUACU
rnacentral:sRNA from 1 species